rnacentral:rRNA from 1 species
GGCGGCGUGCUUAACACAUGCAAGUCGAACGAGAAAGGGAUUGCUUGCAAUCCUGAGUAGAGUGGCGCACGGGUGAGUAACACGUAGAUAAUCUACCUUCGAUUUUGGGAUAACCAUCCGAAAGGGUGGCUAAUACCGGAUAAGGUUUUAAUACGCAAGUAUAAAGAUGAAAGUAUGCCUCUUCUUGAAAGCAUAUGAUUGGAGAUGAGUCUGCGGACCAUUAGUUUGUUGGUAGGGUAAUGGCCUACCAAGACUACGAUGGUUAGCUGGUCUGAGAGGAUGAUCAGUCACACUGGAACUGGAACACGGUCCAGACUCCUACGGGAGGCAGCAGUGAGGAAUUUUGCGCAAUGGGGUAACCCCUGACGCAGCAACGCCGCGUGAGUGAAGAAGGCCUUUGGGUCGUAAAGCUCUGUCAACUGGGAAGAAGUUACAACGAUCUAAUAGGUAGUUGUAUUGACGGUACCAGUGGAGGAAGCGCCGGCUAACUCCGUGCCAGCAGCCGCGGUAACACGGGGGGCGCAAGCGUUAUUCGGAAUUAUUGGGCGUAAAGGGCGUGUAGGCGGUCUUAUCGGUCAGAUGUGAAAGCCCAGGGCUCAACCCUGGACGUGCAUUUGAAACAGUAAGACUUGAGUACUGGAGAGGAAAGCGGAAUUCCUGGUGUAGAGGUGAAAUUCGUAGAUAUCAGGAGGAACACCGA